CGCACGGGUGAGUAACACGUAUCCAACCCGCCGUCUACUCUUGGACAGCCUUCUGAAAGGAAGAUUAAUACAAGAUGGCAUCAUGAGUUCACAUGUUCACAUGAUUAAAGGUAUUCCGGUAGACGAUGGGGAUGCGUUCCAUUAGAUAGUAGGCGGGGUAACGGCCCACCUAGUCUUCGAUGGAUGGGGGUUCUGAGAGGAAGGUCCCCCACAUUGGAACUGAGACACGGUCCAA
rnacentral:rRNA from 1 species